UCGCUCACCACCACCGGUUUGCCCCAAAUCGACGUUGGCGACCUAACACUACAACACCACAAGGCAAGAGAUGGUUUUUGUCAGGUAAAUUAGGGCUCCAACAGUAAGAAGAUGGAGGCGGCGCGAGGAACCCGUUUAACACCGUUACACCGGCAAGAAUUUUGUGUUGGCUAACUUUAAGUUCCUUUAAAAGGUUGGGGGUGGAUAGGCAGGUGUUGCUUUCAUGAUAUAGAUGUUGCUCCCGAUGGUCAAAGAUUGAAGUUUGGCAUCUACUGGAUCCACAAAGAGUUGCAUGAUAUGAAAUCUCUAUACAAGUGACACCACGCUGCUCAUCAUAUCUACAAUACCCUUUCCCCUUUUGCUGGAUUGGCAUUCCACUUUAUAAACGGGAUACUACCACAUGUAAUUGCUCUGUUUCUUGUCCCAACACAUUUCGGGAUUGCAUUCAUGGAAGUUGUAACCAGUAAUGGUGCAGGGUGUUGGAAGACGAGGCCAAGAAUACACAAUAAUAAACUGAUUUUGGAAUUUAAAAAAACAUUCAGUGAUGGGUGUUAAGAAUGAAGUUACUCGCGAACUCCAUCUCAACCUCGACGUCAUGGACCACAGUCAUAGUUAUAAGGGUCACAACUACAGGUUACUUCUACUAAUUUUUUUUCCCUUUCAAUAUAUUGUUUAUAUAUGCCUUUAAUUUAACCACUGAAACUUGGAAUAAAACUAUUGAUCUGAAUUUCUUACAUAGUAUCUUUUGUAAUUAUAUGUGAAUCAACAUUUAACGUAUAUUUAAGUUAAAAUAAAGAUGCCUAAACCCAUUGGCAAAUCAAAUAUUUCUCUUUACAAUAUACGUAUUACUUCUAAUAGAGGUUAUUAACAGAAGUCAUGAGGACACAUUUCAGCAUUUGAAACGGUUUAGUUUGGCCUAUCUUCUAAUGUGAGUCGCACUAUUUUUUUAUAUGAAUUAGUCCAUCCAUUUUUGUUAAUAUUGAUGUAACUAGAAUGUGUGGUGUUGCCCAGAACAUGUCGAGUUGACUAUAUGUUAUCAAAGAAUGUGAUUUAAAUCAACCUCAUGACCAUUUUGUUACUAAAAUUAUUGUGUAUAACAGUAUUUUUCAUCAAGACUUUGCAUAUAACAGACAUGACUUUUUUAUGAGUGUUAUUUUCUCAAUUUAAAGGUCAACUGUGAUACUAAACUUUUUUUGAUGUACAUAUUUUGCUAUGAUAUUCCAGGUGGUAUUUAGCGUGUACUAACCCAGCAGUGAUAUGUCUCUCCUGAACCAGAACAAGAUGACAAUGAGACACUAACUUAAAGUAUAAGAAGGCUACAACGUUCGUGUUUAUCAUAUUUAAUGAGGUUAUGUAUUGUAUUGAUUCGUGUUUCUUCCUUAAUCGCCCGCGCCACAACGCGGGCGGAUCUAUCUUCUAGUUAUUUUACCAUUACGUUGGUUUUGGUGGGUCAAUGAUGGCAUAAAGCCCAUCAUAUUUGAUUAAAUGAAAAGAGGCCAUAU
rnacentral:lncRNA from 1 species